ensembl:Y_RNA Y_RNA Y RNA
AGCUGAUCCAAGUGCAGUGAUGUUUCUACUAAUUGGUCACAACCAGUUACAGAUUUCUUUGUUCCUUCUCCCCUCCCAGUGCUUCACUUGACUAGCCUUAA